rnacentral:misc_RNA from 1 species
GAUGAAGAACGUAGCGAAAUGCGAUAAGUAAUGUGAAUCGCAGAAUUCAGUGAAUCAUCGAAUCUUUGAACGCACAUUGCGCCCGCCAGUAUUCUGGCGGGCAUGCCUGUUCGAGCGUCAUUACAACCCUCAGGCCCCCGGGCCUGGCGUUGGGGAUCGGCGGAGCCCCCCGUGGGCACACGCCGUCCCCCAAAUGCAGUGGCGGUCCCGCCGCAGCUUCCAUCGCGUAGUAGCUAACACCUCGCGACUGGAGAGCGGCGCGGCCACGCCGUAAAACACCCAACUCUUCUGAAGUUGACCUCGAAUCAGGUAGGAAUACCCGCUGAACUUAAGCAUAUCAAUAAGCGGAGGA